rnacentral:rRNA from 1 species
UACGUAGGGGGCAAGCGUUAUCCGGAUUUACUGGGUGUAAAGGGAGCGUAGGCGGCUUAGUAAGUCAGAAGUGAAAGCCCGCAGCUCAACUGCGGGACUGCUUUUGAAACUGCCAGGCUAGAGUGUCGGAGAGGCAGGCGGAAUUCCUAGUGUAGCGGUGAAAUGCGUAGAUAUUAGGAGGAACACCAGUGGCGAAGGCGGCCUGCUGGACGAUGACUGACGUUGAGGCUCGAAAGCGUGGGGAGCAAACAGG